AUUGAACGCUGGCGGCAGGCCUAACACAUGCAAGUCGAGCGGAUGAAGGGAGCUUGCUCCUGGAUUCAGCGGCGGACGGGGGAGUAAUGCCUAGGAAUCUGCCUGGUAGUGGGGGAUAACGUCCGGAAACGGGCGCUAAUACCGCAUACGUCCUGAGGGAGAAAGUGGGGGAUCUUCGGACCUCACGCUAUCAGAUGAGCCUAGGUCGGAUUAGCUAGUUGGUGGGGUAAAGGCCUACCAAGGCGACGAUCCGUAACUGGUCUGAGAGGAUGAUCAGUCACACUGGAACUGAGACACGGUCCAGACUCCUACGGGAGGCAGCAGUGGGGAAUAGUGGACAAUGGGCGAAAGCCUGAUCCAGCCAUGCCGCGUGUGUGAAGAAGGUCUUCCGAUUGUAAAGCACUUUAAGUUGGGAGGAAGGGCAGUAAGUUAAUACCUUGCUGUUUUGACGUUACCAACAGAAUAAGCACCGGCUAACUUCGUG
rnacentral:rRNA from 1 species